rnacentral:rRNA from 1 species
GGAGACCUGUAUGAACGGCAAAACCUUUUCAAACUGUCUCCCUCCCUAACCUUUUAAACUCCUUUUUACGCGAAGAAGCGUGAAUACAUCAGAAAGACGAGAAGACCCUGUCGAGCUUCAGCCAAUAAGUGAGCCAACAAAACCUAUGUGUUAGCAUCACCCAAAGGCUUUGGUUGGGGUAACCAUGGAGAACAUUAAUCCUCCAGAACAAGCAGACGAACUCUCUUCCCUACUAAACGAGCUAAAGAACCAGGAACUGGUAAUCGGAAAAAGUUACCGCAGGGAUAACAGCGUCAUCCCCUUUAAGAGUCCUUAUUGACAAGGGGGUUUGCGACCUCGAUGUUGGAUUGGGGCCCCCUUAGGGUGCAGAAGCUCUAAACGGUUAGACUGUUCGUCUAUUAAAGCCCUACGUGAUCUGAGU